rnacentral:tRNA from 1 species
GCAGACAUAGCUUAGUUGGUAGAGCGUCUGAUUAUUAAUCAGAGGGUCACAGGUUCGAGCCCUGUUGUCUGCG